CUUGCUAAGUUUGAUGGCGACCGGCGCACGGGUGAGUAACACGUAUCCAACCUGCCGAUGACUCGGGGAUAGCCUUUCGAAAGAAAGAUUAAUACCCGAUGGCAUAGUUUUUCCGCAUGGUAGAACUAUUAAAGAAUUUCGGUCAUCGAUGGGGAUGCGUUCCAUUAGGUUGUUGGCGGGGUAACGGCCCACCAAGCCUUCGAUGGAUAGGGGUUCUGAGAGGAAGGUCCCCCACAUUGGAACUGAGACACGGUCCAAACUCCUACGGGAAGCAGCAUG
rnacentral:rRNA from 1 species